rnacentral:rRNA from 1 species
UACAGAGGUCUCGAGCGUUGUUCGGAUUCAUUGGGCGUAAAGGGCGCGUAGGCGGCGGGGUAAGUCUGGUGUGAAAUCUCGGAGCUCAACUCCGAAAUUGCACUGGAUACUGCUCUGCUAGAGGGCUGGAGAGGAGAUCGGAAUUCACGGUGUAGCAGUGAAAUGCGUAGAUAUCGUGAGGAAGACCAGUGGCGAAGGCGGAUCUCUGGACAGCUCCUGACGCUGAGGCGCGGAAGGCUAGGGGAGCAAACGGG